AGUCCCGUAGUCCAACGGUACGACGCCAGUGAACUUCGGCUCGAGAGAUUAUCCGCUGGAAAUUGCGGGUUCAAUUCCCGCCGGGGCGA